rnacentral:rRNA from 1 species
AUUGAACGCUGGCGGCAGGCUUAACACAUGCAAGUCGAGCGAGCGGCGGACGGGUGAGUCAUGUCUGGGAAACUGCCAGAUGGAGGGGGAUAACUACUGGAAACGGUAGCUAAUACCGCAUAACUUUCGAUGUUCCCAGACUGGAUUAGCUAGUGGGUGGGGUAAUGGCUCACCUAGGCGACGAUCCCUAGCUGGUCUGAGAGGAUGACCAGCCACACUGGAACUGAGACACGGUCCAGACUCCUACGGGAGGCAGCAGUGGGGAAUAUUGCACAAUGGGCGCAAGCCUGAUGCAGCCAUGCCGCGUGUGUGAAGAAGGCCUUCGGGUUGUAAAGCACUUUCAGCGGGGAGGCGUUACUCGCAGAAGAAGCACCGGCUAACUCCGUGCCAGCAGCCGCGGUAAUUC